rnacentral:rRNA from 1 species
ACAUGGAUACACCAUAGCAUUAAUUCAUUGGAUCCCAUUAUAUCUCCACAGUUAAGCGUGCUUUUGCUAGAGUAGUACUAGGAUGGGUAACCACCUAUGAAGUCAUAGUGUUUUACAUGCC